rnacentral:tRNA from 1 species
UGUAGUUUUUAUUAAAGUGUUUUGAAAACACUUCUAAAGAAAAAUUUUCUUAAAAG